rnacentral:rRNA from 1 species
AGUCAACAUGCCCAGGGGACGUGGAUAACCUCGGGAAACUGAGGAUAAACCGCGAUAGGUCACUACUUCUGGAAUGGGUAAUGACUUAAACCUAUAUGGCCCCUGGAUUGGACUGCGGCCGAUCAGGCUGUUGGUGAGGUAAUGGCCCACCAAACCUGUAACCGGUACGGGCUCUGAGAGGAGGAGCCCGGAGAUGGGCACUGAGACAAGGGCCCAGGCCCUAUGGGGCGCAGCAGGCGCGAAACCUCUGCAAUAGGCGAAAGCCUGACAGGGUUACUCUGAGUGAUUUCCGUUAAGGAGAUCUUUUGGCACCUCUAAAAAUGGUGCAGAAUAAGGGGUGGGCAAGUCUUGUGUCAGCCGCCGCGGUAAUACCAGCACCCCGAGUGGUCGGGACGUUUAUUGGGCCUAAAGCAUCCGUAACCGGUUCUACAAGUCUUC